GUGGCUUAGAUACCCCGGUAGUCCACGCCGUAAACGAUGGGCACUAGGUGUAGCGGGUAUUGACCCCUGCUGUGCCGAAGCUAACGCAUUAAGUGCCCCGCCUGGGGAGUACGGCCGCAAGGCUAAAACUCAAAGGAAUUGACGGGGGCCCGCACAAGCGGUGGAGCAUGUGGUUUAAUUCGACGCAACGCGAAGAACCUUACCUGGGCUUGACAUCCCUUGACAGUCUAUGAAAGUAGAUCUUUUCUUCGGAAACAAGGAGACAGGUGCUGCACGGCUGUCGACAGCU
rnacentral:rRNA from 1 species